ensembl:lncRNA
UGCUCUUGUAAGCUGCUGUCAGGUGUAGAGAUUUCAUUUCAAAUACCGAAUGUUCUCCAGCUCUGUAAUAACCUGCAGCUGUUUGACCACUCGGGUGCAAGAGGCUGAAUGUUGGACAUUGCCCCGGAGCUGCCUCAGACCAAAGCACAAUAUUUUCCGCUUCCAAGAAUCAGUGAAGGGCCACCUAUUAGUGGAAUUUAAAAUAUUUUUCCAAUUAAGUUCCAGACCUACCGAGUCAGUUUUGAAUGUGAGAAGAAAGGGACAGCAAGUGAACAGAGUUGCUCUAAAAAAGCUGUUUCUUGAGAUGACGGAGUUGGAUGUUUGGAGCAGCCCUCCGCCCUCUUUCUGAAUAAGGAAACACCUGCGUGAAGCGGGGGUGCAAAGCCCUCCCUCCCUCGAGAGAUAAUGAGAGAGAAGACGCUGUGGAUUUUUCAGCGCUGUUAUCCAACGGUCAAAAAGUGGUGGUUGCAGUGAAUAAGACUCGGAGGAAAAGAUGCAUGUAAUCUACUCUCACCAGUGAGACUUCGAAUUCAGAAGGGGAGGUGGACAGUUCUAAACAGGUUUCUAUGAGCUUCUUUUGAGAUCCCAGUGGAAACAAGCCCAGUGCUCCCAGCAGCAACCUCAGCAGCCCACCCUGUUUAUGCUUUUCUUCCUCCGCUCCUCACUCUCCUGCCUCCUGGAAUCACCACCCAAGUAAACCACCCAUACUCCUCAGCCUCUGCCUUGAGGGGUACUUAAAGGAAUUGUCAAAGCUAUGGUUUUUCCAGUAGUCAUGUACGGAUACGAAAGCUGGACCAUCAAGAAGGCUGAGCGCCAAAGAAUUGAUGCUUUCAAACUGUGGUGCUGGAGAAGACUCUUGAAAGUUCCUUGGAAAGCAAGGAGAUCAAACCAGUCAAUCCUUAAGGAAAUCAACCCUGAAUAUUCAUUGGAGGGACUAAUGCUGAAGCUGAAGCUCUAAUACUUUGGCCAACUGAUGCAAAGAACUGACUCAUUUGAAAAGACCCUGAUGCUGGGAAAGAUUGAAAGCAGGAGGAGAAGGGGACGACAGAGGAUGAGAUGGUUGGAUGGCAUCACUGACUCAGUGGACAUGAGUUUGGGCCAUCUCUAGGAGAUAGUGAAGAAUAAGGAGGCCUGGUGUGCUGCAGUCCAUGAGGUCACAAAGAAUCAAACACAACUUAGCGACUGAACAACAACAGCAAAGGAAUAAAGAGACAAAGCCAGGAAACAGAAGGACCAGCCCCUUCCAAGCACAACUGUAGCAUCAGCACAGUCUCACUGACGACCUUCAUCAACAAUCGUGUAAGAACAUUUCCUAAGGGUAAAGUGUUCUCGACAAAUUUAUGUUACAACCUAAACACGUAUUCAAGGGAUCUUUUGUUUGGUUUUGUUUUUCUUGCAGGGGGCAAUCCCUUUGCUCUUUCCUGUAUUUCAAUGUCUAAAUUCCUCAUGCGAUGCCUCACUUUCAAGCUUAAAGUUUCCCUGAAUUGACUGUGGCCUGUUGGGAGGC